rnacentral:antisense_RNA from 4 species
CUUCACCGACCCGAGCCAUAGCGGAUGCCCGUCCGCGCGGUCACGCCCGUACGUCGCCAGCAGCGCCUGCGCCUC